rnacentral:rRNA from 1 species
UACAGAGACUGCAAGCGUUAUUCGGAUUCACUGGGCGUAAAGGGUGCGCAGGCGGCCAAGUGUGUUCGGCGUGAAAGCCCGGGGCUCAACUCCGGAAUUGCCUUUAAGACUGCAUCGCUAGAAUUGUGGAGAGGUAAGUGGAAUUCCGAGUGUAGAGGUGAAAUUCGUAGAUAUUCGGAAGAACACCAGUGGCGAAGGCGACUUACUGGACACAUAUUGACGCUGAGGUGCGAAAGCGUGGGGAGCAAACAGG